rnacentral:rRNA from 1 species
AGUGAACGCUGGCGGCGUGCCUAAUACAUGCAAGUCGAACGAUGAAGUCCUAGCUUGCUAGGAUGGAUUAGUGGCGCACGGGUGAGUAAUAUAUAGUUAAUCUGCCCUACACAGAGGAACAACAGUUGGAAACGACUGCUAAUACCUCAUACUCCUAUUUGACAUACGUUAAAUAGGGAAAGUCUUUUCGGUGUAGGAUGAGACUAUAUCGUAUCAGCUAGUUGGUAAGGUAAUGGCUUACCAAGGCUAUGACGCGUAACUGGUCUGAGAGGAUGAUCAGUCACAUUGGAACUGAGACACGGUCCAAACUCCUACGGGAGGCAGCAGUAAGGAAUAUUGCGCAAUGGGGGAAACCCUGACGCAGCAACGCCGCGUGGAGGAUGACACUUUUCGGAGCGUAAACUCCUUUUAUCAGGAAAGAAUAAUGACGGUACCUGAUGAAUAAGCACCGGCUAACUCCGUG